rnacentral:rRNA from 1 species
AACGAACGCUGGCGGCAGGCUUAACACAUGCAAGUCGAACGCCCCGCAAGGGGAGUGGCAGACGGGUGAGUAACGCGUGGGAAUCUACCUAGUUCUACGGAACAACAGUUGGAAACGACUGCUAAUACCGUAUACGCCCUACGGGGGAAAGAUUUAUCGGAAUUAGAUGAGCCCGCGUAAGAUUAGCUAGUUGGUGAGGUAAUGGCUCACCAAGGCGACGAUCUUUAGCUGGUCUGAGAGGAUGAUCAGCCACACUGGGACUGAGACACGGCCCAGACUCCUACGGGAGGCAGCAGUGGGGAAUAUUGGACAAUGGGCGCAAGCCUGAUCCCGCCAUGGCGCGUGAGUGAUGAAGGCCUUAGGGUUGUAAAGCUCUUUCAGUAGGGAAGAUAAUGACGGUACCUACAGAAGAAGCCCCGGCUAACUUCGUGCCAGCAGCCGCCGUAAUAC